rnacentral:rRNA from 1 species
UACGGAGGGGGCUAGCGUUGUUCGGAAUUACUGGGCGUAAAGCGCGCGUAGGCGGCUUUGUAAGUUAGAGGUGAAAGCCCGGAGCUCAACUCCGGAACUGCCUUUAAGACUGCAUCGCUAGAAUUGUGGAGAGGUGAGUGGAAUUCCGAGUGUAGAGGUGAAAUUCGUAGAUAUUCGGAAGAACACCAGUGGCGAAGGCGGCUCACGUGGCUCGAUACUGACGCUGAGGUGCGAAAGCGUGGGGAGCAAACAGG